AUACGGAGGGUGCGAGCGUUAAUCGGAAUUACUGGGCGUAAAGCGUACGUAGGCGGUUGGUUAAGUUAGAUGUGAAAGCCCCGUGCUUAACCUGGGAACUGCAUUUAAAACUGGCGAACUAGAGUUGAGUAGAGGGGAGUGGAAUUUCAGGUGUAGCGGUGAAAUGCGUAGAGAUCUAAAGGAACACCAGUGGCGAAGGCGACUCCCUGGACUCGAACUGACGCUGAGGUACGAAAGCGUGGGUAGCAAACGGGAUUAGAAACCCCGGUAGUCC
rnacentral:rRNA from 1 species